CGGCCGCGCCCUCGGCACCGCUCCGCGCCUCCCCGCGGGCCGCCCGCGCCCCGCGCAGCACCGGCGGGCGGGGCCGCCGCGGAAGGCUGUGUGGUAGCGCCCGGCUCGGCCCGGCAGCGGAGAGCUUGGAGCGGCUGGCCUGGCCAAAGCCCGGCGCUUUGGGGCUGUCUUCCCGGCCCUUUAAUUAGCAGCUCUUAUAAACUCCCAGGAAUUUAUUGCUUCACGCUCUUCCCAUCCCUCACCUUGCCAGGUGUUUCUGAGAAAACUCCUCAUUUACAAGUGUGAUUUGCUUCUAAGGUGCUAUUUCUUGCUCAGAUACAUCAUUUUCCCCUAUACAGAGCACUUCCCCUAUAUUCCACUGGUGAGGCCACACCUCAAGUACUGUGUCCAGUUCUGGGCUCUUCAGUCCACAAAGGAGACUUGAGGUGCUGGAGCAAGUCUAGAGAAAGGAAACAAAACUGGUCUGGAACACUAAUCCUGUGAGGAGCAGGUGAGGGAGCUGGCGUUGUUUAACCCGGAGAAAAGGAGGCUCAGGAAAGCCCUUAUCACUUUACAACUAUCUGAAAGGAGGCUGUAGCCAGGUGGGGGUCAGUCUCUUCUCCCAGGUAACCAGUGACAGAACAAGAGGACACAGUCCUGGGCCAGGGGAGGUGUAGGUUGUACAUCAGGAGGAAUUUAAUCACAGAAAGGGUUGUUAGACCUUGGAAUAGGCUGCCCAGGCAGGUGGUGGAAUCACUGUCCCUGGAGGUGGUUAAGGAAAGACCAGAUAUGGCACUUAGUGCUGUAGUCUAGUUGAUAUGUGUAUUCCUGUGAUUUUAUAGCAGCAUUCCAUUAUCAUUUUCUUUAAAACACAACAGAGCUGGUGAAACUACCAUCUGACGUUCACCUCUGGUCCUGCAGCACCUGCACAGGAGGUGCAGGUAAUAAUCUCCACAAUGAAUCAAAAUGCAGUGUCACCCAGGAGAAACUUAAUAAGAUUAUAUGCAUGAGAAAUCGGAAACAUUUAUUUAAAGCUCAAAACAGGUGUAAUUUCUGCUCUAGACUCCUGGGUAUUUCAAGGAGUGUUGGUUAACUUAUAAAAGCUUGUAGCCUAACUGGCAGUAAAAUGUCAGUGUUUCAAUUAAUAUUUUGAAGGGGUGAAGACAGAUAACAUUUUCCUUUACUGUCCUGUAUUAUAUAUAAGCUGUGGUCAAACAGACUUGCUGGUGUUACCUGGACCAAACCCAAGCAUGAGAUAUUUCUAUCUUUCAGCUUCAGAAGCAGUGCUUAAAACAGCCAUGCUCUCUGCAGAGUACAAGACGGACAACCUGAACUUUUAGUGACCCAGGUUGAUCAGUAACCCAUGUUCCGGAGCAGGACCUUGGAUACCUGAUGACUUCACUGUCAAGCAUUAACUUGUUUCUUGAAAAGUUGCUCUUCUAUAGGUCCUGGUAUCUGGUAUGAUUUUAAAGCCAAUACCAAGUCAGUGAAUUUUCCCCUUCAUUCAGUCAGCACAAGUAAUGCUUUUUACCCUCUAAUUAUCUGAGUGGUAGCCAAAAGAUAGAUUAAACAAUCACAUUUAGUUUGCACAAGAAUUUUAACCAGAAAAAAAAAUGUUGAACACCACAUUUCAUACACUCAUGUUUUGAUUCCAGCUGGAGAGGUAAUGAAUGUUUAGAUUCCCAUAACUCUAGCACUGAUUAAUGUCUGGAAGAGAGCCGGGAAAGAAUAAUGUGGAUGCUGUUUUUAUCCCAUCAGGUAUCCCUACCAAAGGCACAUAUUGUGCCCAACAAAGAUAUUGUAAUGUUUUUUGCUGAGUUCUCUAGUUUCCUUUGUAGCAGAGGUGGAAAGGAAUUCUGAUGCUGCAGGCAUCAUAACUUGUUUGUGGAGGACCAAAUUCUCAAUUUAUGUGUGGAAGAAAACCUAAGGGUGUCUGUGGGCUUCCUCUAUGCCACAGUUCUUCAUCUUGUUACACACAGCUUUGUUGUGCACAACAACUUUUUGUAACCACGGGAGCGUAAAAUGUUUGAGCAAAACAUGUUGCCACUUCCCCAACAUUCUCCUGCUCUGUGUCUAACUCAAGGUACCUUCUUCUGGUAUAGUACUGGCUGCCAUCUCCAUACCUUGUACAGUAUAAAUCCAUAAUUUCUGGUGCCAUCUCUGAGUGCAUCAACAGCAACACUACUUAACCAGCAGAUGAGGCAGGGGAAAAGGGUCUUUAACAGAACUGCAGAAGGUAGGAGGUGUAUGAGGCAAAAGUGCACACUCCCACCAGAGAGGCAGAGAAAAAGCAGCUGCAAGAGGCACUUAUUUCUUCAGGUAUAUACUGUGCUUGUCCAGUUUUUUUUUUUUUUUUUUUUUUUUUUUUUUUUUUGUUGUUGUGCUUUCUGUUCUGAAAGUCUUGUCACUUUCUCCGUGUGUCCCUCUUACAUGAAAGGAGAAACGACCUUGCAGAGUUCCAUUUCCUUCUUCAUCAAAAUCAUUCUGGCUUCAUUGCCUGUUGCUGACCCCUGCCUCUUCCUCAGAGUCUUGUCCCUCCUUCCCUAGCUCUUGAUCUCAACCUUGAGUUCCGACAUUUCAGCCCUUCCCUAGCUGCGCUGUCAAGGCACCAUAUCUUUCUCAUUAGUGGAUUAACUACUGUAACCUGUACUUCCCCUGCUAAAAAAAAAAAAAAAAAAAAAAAAAAAAAAAAAAAAAAAAAAAAAAGAGGCAUCAGUAGCCAGCCUGAGAAUGUCCUACUGCUGUAAAGGUAGACAAGAGCUUGGAGGUUUGGCUUUGUAGUAGAUGGCAGCAGUCACUGACAGCUGGUGCUUGCUGGGAACAAACAGCUGUUAGCUAGAUGUCCCUAGGUGGAGACCCCAAAAUAGUGACCAUUCAGGACCAUUUUUUCUUCUGCAGCUUCCUGAUGAAUCCUUGGCUCUUUGCUCCUGAUGACUUUGCACCCACUCAGCACUUCAGUCCUUUCCACCCAUUUGGUAACUGUUGUGCAACCCUGCCUACCAAAGCCUUUCCAAGAGAAAGGAUAGCUGCAAGAAAUUGACAGCAAGCUGUUACAAGAACACAUCAACAUGGCUUUGGUUUUCCUAUAAAAUUUACUAAACAGGAAUGUUGUAUGGGCUGAAAAAGGAAAAGAAAACUAUAUAUGGAAAGAAACAGACCGACACCUGAUUAAAUACUGUGUUAAAAGUUUGUCCCUACAGUUUGUAGGGAUACUGGGUAAUCACUAGGUAAUUUUUGUUUUACUCAAAGUGAACAACACUCUUUCUGCUGAGUGUUAAUGGUGGAAAAAAUAAACAUGAAGGAAACAAUAAAAAGGCUGUUUCUGGUUUGUACUCUCCUUGGAGCAAGAAAUAAGAAUGAUCUAUGUAGUGCAAGAGAAGUGAAGAAGGUUUUUUGGGCUCACCCAAAUCCUUCAAACAAGUUCCUGAUAUCUAGUGCAAACAAUUAUGUAAAACCUCUUAAGCAACAACCAAAGUGUUAAAAUAAAUGGCCUCUUUUCCAACAGAGAUUAAUGAGACUCUCAGAAAGUUGAUACUGGGAAGUUACACAGUUUUUUUAAAAACUGCUUUAUCCUGUUCUUUGGUGGCAGAAGAUAACAUUUGCCAAAUCCAUUAAUUUACACAAUUUAGAAGACUGCUAUUAUUAUGAAAUAAACCAUUUAUAUAACUUUUUUACUAUUCAGUAAUGUAAUUUACACAUUAUUUUAGUUGUGUUGUAGCUGAGCUUGAAGGCUUUGCCUGAGCAUCGUCUUACCCAUUGUAUAUAUACAAAUGUCAGCCCCUUGCUCAAAACCGUUUUAUGUUUAUUUAAGAGGCACAAAUACUCAGAAUGAUGGACAGAUUUAUAAAAAAUAAAUUGGUUUUACCUUAAGUGAUACAGCUCAGUUCAAUCUUGGGAAAUCAUAGUGGAUAUUGAACAUAACUGCUGGAGGAAGGCUACAUGCUGUAUUCACAAAGGGAUUUGAACACUGAAAGGUUCCUUUUUCAGGUGCCUCACUUCGCUGGGAUUUUUCCCCCUGUAAUGUGUUGCUACUUAUCUCAUAGAGCCAGCAUAUGAACUUUAGCAGUUGUGUCCCCAGGUUUCUCUGAAGACUCUGUAGUUGCUUCCCCUGCAGCCCCUAAGCUUUGCAUUUGUCGUCAGGCUCAGAUUGCUGUAAUGCCACGGGUGAUGUCUGCCUCCAGUUGCUUCUGGAGUUGUGCAUAAUCUUUUUGCCCACAGGAAAAAGCUGUAGUUCUCUUUCCUCCCUGUGAGAGCUGUUCCUAUUACAUAUUCCUGAGCUCUCAUAUAUAGAAAAUAUAUUCUAGUCCUUAAUAUGCCUGCACUUCAAUUUGCAGGUGUUAGAAUUAAACAUACGUACCCUGGUUUUGGUUACAGCAUCUUCUACUUCAAAGUCAGCUUAUAUGCAUGUACAUUAUUACUUCCUGUGACUGCCACAGCUGUGUAAGUGUAUGGGCAGCAACAAUUCGUUUUCUCUACACCAAGGCCAGCUCUGCAAGUUCUAUUGGGAUAAUUAAUCCUAUUGUGGGAGGAGAAGGUAACGUAGAAAUAAAAGCUAAAAUAGGGUAAAAGGGUGGAUAUAACUAUGUUGUUAUAAAGAUGACACAUCCAAAUGAUGAUGUUCCUUGCUGUAUGGGAAUAGCUAUCGCAGUAUAAAGCACCUUUAUAUAAAUACAGCUGUAGACUUGACAUGUCAGAACUUGAGACAGCAGGGAAUGUCUGUGGUGAAACUUGGACACCUUAGCAAGCAAGAACCAUGCCAAGCCCUGAUACUGUGGUGGGGGAAACUGUGACAGAAUGAUAACUGGAGUGUCUUUAGUGGCCAAAACUCAGCAGGGCAUGCAGAGCUCCACUGAGGGUGUAAUAUGAUUGUGCAUCAUCUUCAACCUGCAGCAUUGGCUGAUCUCCUAUCAUGCUAACCCACCCCUUGAACACCAUGCAGAGAGAUGGGGUACCCCCUCUUCAGCUACCUCCACUCUGCAAAUGAUUCCAGGACAUUGCUCUUACCUUGCCCGUUCUUUAGUGAUACAUCCCAUUCCCUCAGGCUAGCACCCCUAAUAUUGCAUCCCUACUCUCCACAUUAUUUUCUCUUAAAUACCUCCUUGUCCUACUGUAGAGCCCACUUUGAUCCCUGCUCUUGGUUUUCUUUUAUGAAGUGGAUCCCAGCACUAUGCUGAAUGUGAGGGAAAGGCACCACAGCUGGACACUGAGCCUCCCACACUUUGACCAGAUUGCUGAACAGUCCCAAACAAUACUGCACAUGUCACAGGUGAGCAGUUUGUGCAACUGGUAACAGCAGGGGACCAAAUCUGUAAGAUGCCUUCAGUUCAGUUGUCAGCUGGUGAGUUACAUGCUGUAAAAAAGCUUUUUAAGACACUGCCUUCUGAGUGGCCAUGAAGGCUUUCUCCCAUUAUAUGGAAACCAGAUUAUUGCUGAACUUAUUUGAUCCAUUCAUAGGGAGUAAUAAAAUAUACAUUUGGCUCAGUAAAACUCCAUCUGGUCUCUGAGAUAUAUUGGCAUGGCAAGCAUCCACCUUCCAUUGCUGUCACUUGCAGUCCCCAUCCAGCCAUUUAUCAGUUCAUCUGUCACAAGAAGCAGAAAGAUUCCCCUUGCAUAGACAAAAAGUCACCUCCCUGAGGCAUCUAUUUGGGCUACUGGAGUGGCACAUUUUAAGCCUGUAACCGCCUAAAAAGGAUUCAUGAGACUGCCCCUUCUGCUCAGGUAUUCAGAACUGUCUCUGUACAAGGAAACUGUAUAAUGGGGAGGAAAAGCAUUGGGAAUUGAAAAUUAAUCACUCUUGUUUUUUUCUGUAAGAGCUCUUUUGUAAUGCUUUAAGAGCAGACAGGAGUUAGCUGGUUAGGAAAAUCAGACUGAAUGCCUUCUUUUAAGAUAAAAGGUGAUUGAUUUGCAGCUGUGCAGACACAGUCUUAAUCUACCUCAUGUUUAUCAGGUUCAAAGGCACUUUUAUCAAAUUCACCAGAGAAAAAGAAGUGCUGCAGGUUUGAGCUUAACUAUCCUACUGGUACCUGUAGGUCAAGGCUGAGACCUUCAGGUCUUUCCUUUCACAGAGGGUGACUGACUUCCCUCUUGGUCUAAGUUUAUUGAAGCUUCUGGCCUCUUGCAGUUCCUUGUGAUUACAAAACUGACUCAGUUACUUUUCAGAAGCAUCACAUUAUUUCAAGACAAAAAUAUUACUGAGUAGUAUCAAGUUUGUCAGGUUUAACUGAUGCUUGGGGUUAUUAAUUUUUAUGUUGUGUGUUUCUGAAAUUUUGCUGCUCAGACAUGCCCUGUCAGUGUGCUCUUCUCCCUCCCUGCUUUUUGCCCUAUCGAGUCAAAAAUCCAUUAUCAUGUUGCUUGAGGGCAUUAAGCUUCCCAGUCUUGUUCAAUUGUAAGAUUAUUCUUAACUACACUUUUAGGUUCUCAAAAGGACACCUAUUGAUCCAUUAACCUGUGAACAUUUAAUGUGUGGGGGAUCUGGAGAUAAAAUUUUUACUUUUUCUGGGCUUUCAAAGUCUCAUGUCUUUUUGUAAAAGAGACUCUUAGACCAUUCAGUGUGGAUAAAAAGGCUCAGAACUGGAGGUCAGAGUGACAGACAACAAAGUUGACCUAACUGCGGAGGUGUGUGAGGACUGUUUCAGAGUAGUAGGAAAAAAUGGGAAUAAAGGAGGUCAAAGAGUUUCAGAAGAUGCUUCUGACCGAGUAUUUUUGCCAGGUCCUGAGCUGUAAUGGGAAAUAUGGAGUGUAAUUCAGCUCCAGAUUGCAGACGUCUAAAUUUAGGUAUUAAAUAUAGGUGACUGCCUGUGACACAUAUCUCAAGUUCCAUUUCAAGCAAUGGAGAUCAAGUCCUUAGAGUUACUGGGGCCUGGAGAGCUGUUGAGCUCAUCCUAAAUUAGACACCUACCAGGCCAGUCUGUCAAAGACCCAGUCGUGCUGCUGCUGAGAUACUUCUCAGUUCUUAAACUUUGACAAGUCUAUUUGGUACAUCCCAAGAUGCCCAGGCUUCCCCAAAGACAGAAUAAUCACACAUCUCUCUGGUGACUGUGUUGGCAGGGGGAAACUAUGAUUGUGUUUGCCCAGCCAGAAACACACCAGAUGGCUGGAACAACUGAGUGUAAUGCAUCCUUUGGGGCAAACCUCCUUGAAUUUCCCAAAACCUGCCUGUGUACUUGCUCAUUAUACAUGAUAGACACAAGAAGGAUGUAAACAUGACAUCAAGUGCUCCUGGGCAGCCAAAGAACCUUGUCUGUUCACAGCCUCUCUGCCAGGCCUGCUUACUAUCAUGGCCAUAGUCUCACUUGUGGGGCUGUGGACAAGAGCUGCAGGACUCAGGGCUCUUCGGUAAGAGUGGUUGGAUAUAUCUUAAGUAAGCACUAUCAACUGCUAAGAUAUGGCAGAAUAACCCUGGCACUGCAUACACAUGGAUUAUAUGUAUGGAACAUAUAGGGAAGGCUAAACCAAAAUUUUAUAGCUCCAGCACUAACAUUUAUAGCUCACUUGUUUGCCAGAGAAAGGGCAUGUUCAUAAUGUAUUUCUCUUUUAGCUUACCCUCUACUCAAAAGGUUAAAAAAAAAAAAAGAAAAAGCCCAAACACACCCACAAUGACAUGAUCAGAACUUAUUUUUAUCUCAUUGUUUGUAGAGUUCACUUACAGGAUUACAAAUCUUUUUGGUAUAUUGCACAAGAAUUACAAGAAUUCAACUACUAAUGAAUUUUAACCAUAGAACAUGAGUACUGAACAUUUCUGGGAAUACUGUUCAACAUAAAAUGUGUGAACACACGAAUACUUAGCAGAGUAUGUUAAGAGAUACCAUCAGUUAAUAUAGGAGAAUAUAUAAGUAAUUGACUGGUUCUUCAUGAGAAGAUUCUUGGUCCCUCGCUGCUCAUUGCACAUUCCCUUCACAAGGUAUUUGUGGUACACAUCUGACUUGAAAACAUCAUCAGCUUUGUCUGUGCCACUGUUUUUACACGGUCUUGCCCUUUCUUGUUGUUGUUAGGCUUCCGUUUGCAACUAAAAGCUGCUACUUCCAUCUGCUGUGGGCAAAAAUGUGCUUCUGAAAGACUUUCACUGUCCCUUGGCAGCGUGCCACAGAAAUAUUUCUGCACAAAAGCAGUAGCUGUCAGUGCUGGAUUUUAGGGACCGAGGGAUCAUCUUGAAUACUUUACAGCAUACUUUUAUAUAAAUUAUUAUUAGGUUCCUGCAGAAUUUGCUGUGCCUGGACUUCUGAGCCUAUUACAUUUUCAAGGUGUGCAGAGUGACUGAUGUACAGCUCACUGUCCAUGCAAACACAGAGCAGCCUGACAAGCUGCAGUGCUAUGAAUCUUCUCCCUUUUCCUACUUUUAAGAGAUCUUGAAAGAGAAGUGUUUAAUCUUUUGUAACCCAUACUUAUCACUGUACUAUUCAACAAAAUAUUCUCUCCAAUACCUUUGUAGUGAUUACUGACAGCACAAUUCUUUUGAUUGUUCAUCAGAUUUAUAACCUGAGACAACACUUGAGUGGGCACAAACAAGCAGACAGGAAAACAGAGAAAAUCGAGAAGUAAUUAAUGGUCAGCAUGGGGAGGACAGUACUUCAGCACACCUGCAGCAUAAGAGUUUCAAGAUUUUUGCUGGAAAGCUUUGAAAAACACAACACAUUCACUCCAUAAAUGCUUGUGGCAUCCUUCACUCAUAAUGUGAUGGCUGAAGGAGGAAGUGCCAAAGGGAUGCACUGAGAAAUGUAACACAUGAGCAGUUAUUGGCUGGAAUCAGCAUCUUUAUGGAGAGUGAGGGAUAACAACACAGCGCAAACAUGCUAAAGAGGUUUGUGAAAAUGAAGACAAGGAUGUAUUUGAUGAGCAAGAAAAAAGAGCAGAGAAUAAAUGUCUGGAGUUCAAAGCCAAACUAAUGGAAAGCACCUGGAAGAAACAAAUAGAAGGCAGGAGCUGUUAACAUAAUGUGGUAAGGUUUAACUCAGCAAGUCCCUAAGCUGCUGGUUAUAGAAGAAAGAAAGGAACCCUCUCUAUUUCUAGGUUUUUGCUCAUCUCUGGCUGUCCACAGGUGGUUUCAAGGAGUGCAAGGUAACGUAAAUACAAAGGAGAAAUCUUGCAAGUUAGGAAGGGUUAGAAAUUUGCACUGUCAAAUAUUUUGGAAACUUUGCACUGAAAAGUAAUUGCCUCUACAUUAUUUUCUCUAUUUCUCUAAAUUUCUCCACAUUUUCUCACCUAAUGACCAGCAGUACAGUAUGUGUUCAGACACCAUGUUUUUUUUACCAGGACAAAUAGGAGAAUAAAGAAUGUAUAUAGGAUGUAUAUAGGAUGUAUAUAGGAUGUAUAUAGGAUGUAUAUAGGAUGUGGAACUCAGCACCAGAAACUUAUCUGUAUUAGUCACAAAUGUCUUAGUCUUAGUUAGCUUGCUAGAGAAAAACUGUGACAUCUGACUAAGACACUGGUAUCCAAAUAAACCAAAUUCAUGCACAGUCUACAUCAGAUUAUUUGUAUGAUACAGAAAUCUCUUAAAUUUGCUGAAUUUUCCCUCCAACCCCUCAGCACCUUGUGUGCUACAUGUUACCCCCAGAGCUUCUCUGCCAUCAGAGCCACUCACCAUCUCUUAGCAUUUUUUCCCCCUUAAUAUAAAAUGAAAGAAGUUUUGAAGCAAAAAUUUAAAUGCUAAAAUUCUCUUCACCUAACUCUUGUAAUUUAAAAUUUGGCCUAAUAAUCUAAAACUCAAUCUACUGAUUCAAUUCAGGGUGAAUAAAUUGAGAAUGGUUCCUUUAAUUUCUUGGAAAUAUGUAUGUACUUACGUUUGCAAAGAUAUUGUAAGCUCUUUAAUCUACAACUUCAAUUGUUUUUCUUCACCUCAAUAUCAAAACCAUGGUUCAGCUCACUAGAGGGAAAAUCCUGUAUUAAUAGUCAUUGAUUGCCCACAUCAGGGGACCUGGCAGAGGACGUCACUGCCCACUCCUUUCUCAGGUAUCUAGGCUCUCCUUGGGUGGAAAAGACGUCCAGGGAAGGAAAAGCAGCACAAACAUCUGGCUUUCCCACCCAAGUUAGGGUGGAGUCAGAGUGGAUAUCUACUGACAUAGUACAUGUUGUUUGAUCUAUGACAUAUAUUUACCAAAUAAUUUCUCUCUCUCUCUCUCUUUCUUUUGCAAGAGUGGUAACAUUUUUUGAGCUGUCAGACACAGUCUGAAAAUCUGAGACUUCUUUACAAAACAGGUCACAAAACCCAGGAUAGGGAAGACAUUAAAAGGACUGUAUUCAAAGAUCUUUAGCAGCUGUUUCUGUCUCUUUCCUGUAUUUUUAUACUAAUAUUUUGAAAUUUUAUGAUGUGUUUUUAAUACAUUUCCUUCAUUUAUUGCUGGAGAAUAUUAACAUAUUAUUAUUGAGCUGUUUAGGUGUCCAUGGCCACUCUUCUCAUUAUUCUUCUCAUUUUUAAUGUGUUCAUUAAUACUUUUGUUUCAUUUUUAAUGUGUUCAUUAAUACUUUUGUUUGAGGGAAAUAAAAGAAGCAUAGAUAUAAUAAUUUGCCUAUAUAGCAAGCUUCAGAAAAGCUGUCUGUGUUUCUGAGCUCUCAGAUUUAAUUCUAUCUGUCCCUUUAAUGUCAACUGAACACUUAAUACUGAUGAGAAGACAGCUGGCUGCUCCGACAUGGAUGUACAACAUCUGUUGGCUGCUCUAUGAGCAUAAGACUUGGAACAGCUUCCACUCACUGUGCACCUGACUUUUUUGAAAAUGAUCCAGUUUUUGUGUUUGUGAACUGAUUUGAUGCCUUUAUUCAUCACAGAGCAUCUCCUCAUCCCUUCUUUAUCCAUCCUUGAAUGUGUGCCACACCAUCUGAAAAUAAAAGAUUGAAUU